rnacentral:rRNA from 1 species
UUAUACCGUGAAACUGCGAAUGGCUCAUUAAAUCAGUUAUCGUUUAUUUGAUAGAACCUUACUACUUGGAUAACCGUGGUAAUUCUAGAGCUAAUACAUGCUAAAAACCCCGACUUCGGGAGGGGUGUAUUUAUUAGAUAAAAAACCAAUGCCCUUCUGGGCUCUUUGGUGAUUCAUGAUAACUUAACGGAUCGCAUGGCCUUGCGCCGGCGACGGUUCAUUCAAAUUUCUGCCCUAUCAACUUUCGAUGGUAAGGUAUUGGCUUACCAUGGUUUCAACGGGUAACGGGGAAUUAGGGUUCGAUUCCGGAGAGGGAGCCUGAGAAACGGCUACCACAUCCAAGGAAGGCAGCAGGCGCGCAAAUUACCCAAUCCCGACACGGGGAGGUAGUGACAAUAAAUACUGAUACAGGGCUCUUUUGGGUCUUGUAAUCGGAAUGAGUACAAUUUAAACCCCUUAACGAGGAACAAUUGGAGGGCAAGUCUGGUGCCAGCAGCCGCGGUAAUUCCAGCUCCAAUAGCGUAUAUUAAAGUUGUUGCAGUUAAAAAGCUCGUAGUUGAACCUUGGGCCUGGCUGGCCGGUCCGCCUCACCGCGUGUACUGGUCCGGCCGGGCCUUUCCUUCUGGAGAGCCGCAUGCCCUUCACUGGGUGUGUCGGGGAACCAGGACUUUUACUUUGAAAAAAUUAGAGUGUUCAAAGCAGGCCUUUGCUCGAAUACGUUAGCAUGGAAUAAUAGAAUAGGACGUGCGGUCCUAUUUUGUUGGUUUCUAGGACCGCCGUAAUGAUUAAUAGGGAUAGUCGGGGGCAUCAGUAUUCAAUUGUCAGAGGUGAAAUUCUUGGAUUUAUUGAAGACUAACUACUGCGAAAGCAUUUGCCAAGGAUGUUUUCAUUAAUCAGUGAACGAAAGUUAGGGGAUCGAAGACGAUCAGAUACCGUCGUAGUCUUAACCGUAAACUAUGCCGACUAGGGAUCGGGCGAUGUUUCUAUCUUGACUCGCUCGGCACCUUACGAGAAAUCAAAGUUU